rnacentral:misc_RNA from 1 species
CACAAACAAGAAAUUUACAAGGAUACGUUGACUAUAUAAAUCAAUUGCCACUCACCGAUACACCGGAAGUGUUCGGUUUGCAUGGUAACGCUGAUAUUACUUAUCAGAUUAACAGUGCAAAAGAUAUUUUAGACACUAUAUUAAGUGUCCAGCCUAAAGAAGGUGGUAGUCAAGGCGGAGAAACUAGAGAAAGCAUAGUGUAUCGCUUGGCUGAGGAUAUGUUAGAAAAAUUACCAAAACAAUAUGUUAGUUUUGAAGUUAGGGAUGCGCUUCAUAAGAUGGGCGCUUUUCUACCAAUGAAUAUCUUCUUGAGACAAGAAAUUGAUCGUAUUCAACGAGUGAUUAAAAC